AUGCAGAUAAGAGAACCAAAAACUACCACAUUGAUAUCUGCUUCAGGAAAAAUGGUUUGCACUGGAGCAAAAAGUGAACAACAAUGUAAACUCGCAGCUAGAAAGGGCUUUGCGUUUAUUGAUCAAGUCAAAUAUUUGACGAUGUUUUCUUCUCCCAACCUGGCAAGGGGAUCGUCGCCGGAUCAUGGACGUGACCUCAAAGGGUUCAGCGGCGGAUCAGGGGAUCGGCGUGCAGCUCUAGAAGGGGAUCGCCGCCUCCAUCCUGAAUGUGAUCGGCGGUGGGUUCUAAACGGAUCGGCGACGUAUCCUCAAGCGGAUCUUGAUGUGCGAGGGCGGCAGCGAAGGGAUGGAGGGCGGCCGCGAACGAGGGCAGUUCUUUUUCCUUCGCUUGUAGAUGGGUGCGACGGGAGGUGCGGCCCUAUACUGCAUGGGGGCAUCGGGACGUGUUUUUUUGGUUUGACGCGGCUAACAGUGAGGAGUAAGAAGUCAGUUGGAGUGAGAAGUGAGACAAGUACCAUGAGCUCAAGUGAUUCAUUCACCAAGCUGUCCAUUAUAUAUUCUAGAGACAAACUUCAUCUCAGGAUCAGAUUCGCGUAA
rnacentral:rRNA from 1 species